rnacentral:rRNA from 1 species
UACAGAGGGUGCGAGCGUUGUCCGGAAUCACUGGGCGUAAAGGGCGCGUAGGUGGUGGCUUAAGCGUGCGGUGAAAGCUCGGGGCUCAACUCCGAGUCGGCCGUGCGAACUGGGCUCACUGGAGCAUAGUAGAGGCAGGUGGAAUUCCGGGUGUAGCGGUGGAAUGCGUAGAGAUCCGGAAGAACACCGGUGGCGAAGGCGGGUCUCUGGGCCGUAAC